CUUUCUUUCACACGUUUAUGUUCAAACAAGUAAUUCAAUCUAUUUAAACCUCAUUGUAUCAUUCUCAUUCCAUCAGCUUCAAAUCAUAAACCAUCAACAGAUUUCUCCAUUUGCUCUUUUCACAAAAUAACUCAAAUCUGCCAUUUCUCACUGCACAUCAUCAAUCGGUGCGGCGCGAUUAGGACGUGAACUUUAAAUUAUCACAGUUAACUUUCAAAGCUCAAAAGUUCAAGUUUCAGGUGUGGGAUUUAUUUCAGUACAUGCACGUGGUUAAUAUUUGUCCAUUUUAAUAUUAUGUGUUUACCGUAUGUGUUGUAAAAAUAUUUAUCGCUAGGGGCCAGCAUAAUUGGUCCAGGACUUCACCGUCCUUGGUAUGCCACAAAGCGAUUUCAUGUUACAGGGUUGCAACCAUUAUAUUGUCGCCAGGGGCCCACAUAUAGGGUCCGGGACAUUAAAGUCCUUGGAAUGCCACAGUGCGUAUGGAAGUUAUGUUACGUUAUGACAAUAUGUGUUACCAUUUUAUUAACAUGGACAAUUAUUGCAUGUUCCCACACUGAGUGUACCCUGUAUGCUCAUCCCAUAUUCAACAGUUUCAGGUGAUUGAUAUCGGAGGCGCGUGGAGAGUCGAAUGGGCGCGUCGAAUCUAUUUAAAGAUAAAUGUUUCCUAAAACAUAUUAUGUUAUUUCAUGUGAUAUCUCUUGAUUAUGUAAACUCUGAAAUUCUAUACUAUUUGAGAUUUGUGUGUGAUUUGUUUAAAUAAAUGUUAUUAUACUA